GACGACCUCAGUUCCGAUUGAAGGCUGAAAUUCGCCUUCCAUGAAGUCGGAAUUGCUAGUAAUGGCAGGUCAGCAUACUGCCGUGAAUACGUUCCCGGGCCUUGUACACACCGCCCGUCACACCAUGAGAGUUGGAGAUACCCGAAGCCUAUGAGCUAACUUUUAGAGGCAGUAGUCGAAGGUAGAAUCAAUGAUUGGGGUGAAGUCGUAACAAGGUAAC
rnacentral:rRNA from 1 species